CACCACCUUCAGCUGGGGGGCCCAUGUCAAUGGUGGGGAACCCCGGGGGCAGCUGGUCCUCUGGAAGCACAUCAGAGCCACACGCGGGUCAGCACUGGAGGGGGCACUGAAUCAGUGCUCACCCACUGGCAGACCUCUGUUCACAUCCAGACCCCACACCCACUGACAAUAUUCAUCACGAAAGGGACCCCUCCCCCAAACUUUUUGACUUUGUGCUGCUGAUGGAAUUUGUCCUUGGAGGAAAACACAGUUGAGGACUGCAUGAAGCAAGUAUAUGAACUAUAUUAAGUAACAAUGUCUCUUACAAACACUUGUAAAUGACAGCUUAUGGAAUCUUCUAGAUUUCACAGUCAUACUCAUAUAGAGCCCAUAACAUUCUGUCUUUCAUGAGGAAAAUGCUGAGAGUUUUGCUGAUAGUUAAAGACACUGGGUCUAGUUUCUAGGCAGAAUCGGGCUUUGAUAUUCCCCCACCCGGCCAGAACACUUUCAAUGGACGGCUUUCUCACAGCCGACAAAAAAUGAAAAAUUUGAUAAUUCUACCCACAACCAUGUUUUCUAACUGUAUUUAUUUUUUGUGCAAUACACAUUGUUGUUACCUUUCCUGGACAAAAAGUGAUUUCAUUGUAUUGGAUUGACCUGUUGACCUUUUGUUCUGUUUUCAGCUGGAAAAGCUUCUGUUGCCAGGUAAAGCUGAGUACAAACGCCUCCGAAAUGGCGCAGUUCUGAGAAAGCAAGCCGGGGUUUUAUUAAUGGCUCCCCGUUAUCCGUCAGUGUGGGUAUGGGCAGCGAGAAGACACUCUGAAGUUCCUCCUGACCCAUCUUUAACCUUGACAAGUAUUGCUCUGCUGCGCCAUUUUCCGUGUCCAUGUCUAAUACGGCCUACUCUUUUAGUAAUUUAAGACUCCCUUGAUCUCUUUCAGAUUUUCAACACUCGAUAAAUGGAAAUUGCAGAAACGGCCACAGUAGCACCGCGGAUGCCGCGGCUAGCAGGCUAAGGCGGCUAAUGAUGGAGAGAAGGUGGAUGAAUUACAUGUUGCAAGAUGAUGUAUUUGUUAUGCAGGACAGAUUUCUCUGCAAAAGGGACCAUGAGGCUGCUGGAGAUAAAUAUUAAGGCUGACUGGACACAUUUAUAUCCCAAAUGGCAAUGUCACUAACACAAAUGUGAAAAUUAUGAGCGUAUGUCAAUCACGACCUGUACCGUAUUUACAUUUUCUAUGAAUGGUGAUCCCUGUGUCCCAUAAGAAGCUGGAAUAUGGAUGGAUGGAGCGUUGGAUGACCAGCCAUGUUGAGAGGUAACAGCAAAGGUUCAAAUGCCGGAAUGUGGCCCUCAGAUAGACCACAUCAAGCCUGCUUCUGUGAAGAAAGCCCACAGUAACAAAGCCGCGGAAUUAAAUCGCCUCUUGUUUUGCCAGACCUGUUGGUUCAGCGUGCGUGCUGGGGAGGGACGCUGGAUUUAAGGAGCUUUACUGCCCCCUUUUUAUUGUGGAUAAUUAAAUCCCCUUUUCUCCCCGG